rnacentral:lncRNA from 1 species
CCUGUUCCAAUCUUAUUUAAAAUUUCACUAAUUUAUAUGGUGACCCAAAUUUUUGCCCUAAUCUCAAAAUAUUUAUUUAAAGAAAAAUUGGGAUAUUCACAGAAUUCAUAAGAGAAAAAACAUUGGUUUCUAGCUCUAAUAGCAGGUUGUUGAAGGGACUUGGGAAUUCUUCAUUUCCAUUAUGUGGUAGAGUGACCCUGAGCCCAAUCCCUGAUACUAAAAAAACAACAAAAUAAAAUAGGUUCCCAUUCUUUCUCCCUGCCAAAAAAAAAAUUUGUUUUCUCUGUGUGAACUGCUAUUGUCAAUUAUUUUUCUGCUCUAUUUUCUUUAUCAGAUAAUCAAUUUCUUUGUUCUACAGCACAAACAUCCAAGGUUUUCCACUUAGUGUGCCACUUUACCCUUGGGGAUUGAACAUAAGUUAGUACAUAAGUUCUAGUCCAGAAGUCUGGGUAUCUGUUUUUGAACUGCCUUUGAGCUACCAAUAGUGUUUACAUUUUUAGUGGAUGCAGAAAAGAAAAAAGGAGACCGAUCACGUCAAAGCCUAAAGUGCUUGCUGUCUGGCCUUUUUAUACAUGAAGUUUGCUUGAUUCUUAUUCUAGUCUUUAAAAAUCAAUUAUGAGGGCUGUGGCUGUGGCUUAGUGGCAGAGUGCUUGCCUGGCAUGUGUGAGGCACUGGGUUCAGCACCACAUAAAAUAAGACACUACAACUAAAACAAUUCUUUUUGAAAAUCAAUUAAGUAUGUAUAUAUGGAUGGUGGAUGGUUGGGUUAAAUGUGUUUCCAUUUGUCCUAAUAUGCCAGUUACGAAAUACAAUUUUAGGCUGGGGAAGCUCAGUGGUAAAGCAUCUGUCUAGCAUGCUGAGGGCUCCGUGUUCAAUCCCUAGCACCACAAAAAAUACAUAAAUAAAUUUUAGUCAAGUUACUUUUAGUUCCCUUUCAAUUCCUUUAUCCAAAUCUUAUCACUGUAGCAACUAUUAGGAUUCAUUAUAAAUUGACAGGUAUUUAGGCAAAAUACAUUGAUUUCCACUCCCCGAAUCUAGAGAUACGGAUGCCAUGUUGGAUUCUUAGUUUUAGUGGGUAAUUGAGCAGCUGUCUCUUUGUUCUCAUUUAUUUCACUCAGAUAUUAAUUGUACGUGCACUUUGCUUCCACCAAUACACUUCUCAUCACUUCUUUGACAACUUUAAUUUUUUUAAAGGUUUAUUAGGAACUGAAAAGAGUAGAGAAGCCCUGG